GACGAACGCUGGCGGCGUGCUUAACACAUGCAAGUCGAACGGAAAGGCCCUGCUUUUGUGGGGUGCUCGAGUGGCGAACGGGUGAGUAACACGUGAGUAACCUGCCCUUGACUUUGGGAUAACUUCAGGAAACUGGGGCUAAUACCGGAUAGGAGCUCCUGCUGCAUGGUGGGGGUUGGAAAGUUUCGGCGGUUGGGGAUGGACUCGCGGCUUAUCAGCUUGUUGGUGGGGUAGUGGCUUACCAAGGCUUUGACGGGUAGCCGGCCUGAGAGGGUGACCGGCCAGAUUGGGACUGAGAUACGGCCCAGACUCCUACGGGAGGCAGCAGUGGGGAAUAUUGCACAAUGGGCGGAAGCCUGAUGCAGCAACGCCGCGUGCGUGAUGACGGCCUUCGGGUUGUAAACCGCUUUCGCCUGUGACGAAGCGUGAGUGACGGUAAUGGGUAAAGAAGCACCGGCUAACUACGUG
rnacentral:rRNA from 1 species